CUCCAUCGAACAGCUUCCCUAACGCGCACAGUCCCAGCAGUAGAUAGGCUCUAGCCAGAUGUCCGUCUUCAUUUCCUUUAGCAUUCUGGAAAUCUUCGACCCUCUUGUGAAAUUUCUUCUCCAACUCUACUAUACCUCGCUCCAAAUACCCCAGUCACUUGCCGGUGCUGACAGCCAUAUCCUUCCACUCUUCAGUUAGUUUUUGAUUGGCUUCCUAUUUCUCACGGUGCUCGCUUUUGCAUACCCGGAUCCUCUUGUGUAGUUGGUUGUACUUGACCUGUGCUUCGGCAUUUUCAUCUAUGAUCCUGUAAGCUCAAAUAAACCCAGGUUCUCCCAGACCAUCAUGCCUAUCCUCCAACCAAACUAAAUAAUAGGGAACAGAACCAGCGUGGUAUCUAUCGGGCUCGAUGGUAUCCCUUCCAAUGACAAUCUUGCAUAUGCUAAUCCUGGCAUUUAUAAGGACUAUCGUCAUCCUAGAAGUCGGCCUGGAAGUGACUCAUCUUACUGGGUAUAACCUGCUUCCUACCUGCUUGUCUCAUAACGUGGAGAGGUACAUAAGGAUAUGUUCCUCUUAAGCCAAUUAGUAUUAGGAAAGGUGCAUAUCUGGAUCGGACGAUAAACUCCUCGGUCAAAAACCACUCGAACAUCCAUUGUAU
rnacentral:lncRNA from 1 species